AGCCUGGGCGACAGAGUGAGACUCCGUCUCAAAAAAAACAAAAACAAAAACAAAAACAAAGUGCAAUACCACGACAUACCCAGUAGAGUGGCUAAAAUGAAAGACACCGACCAUGCCAAGUGUUGGGGAUGAUGAGCAAGCGGAACCCUCAUACAACGCUGGCAAGAAUGUAAAAUGGACGACUACUUUGGAAAGCAUCAUACGUGAAAGUUUACAGGUGUUUUAUUCACCAUUAUCCCAAACUGGGAACACACAAAUGCCCACACAGGUGAGUGGAUAAACAAACUGUGGUGUAUCCAUACAAUGGAAGAGUGGUCAGGCAUUUAAAAGAAAUGGGUUACUGAUACACACAGCAACAUAAUUACAUUAUGCGGAGUGAAAAAAGCCCGUCAAAAAAGAGUACAUACACUAUAUACACAGUAUUUGAUAUGUGGAUCUAGUUCCACUUCCAUAAAAUUCUAGGAAAUACAAAUAAAUCUACAGUGACAAAAAGCAGAUCACGGUUGCCUAGGGACAGGAAGUGAAUGGACAGGGACAGGAGAGAAAGAUUACAUGAGGAUGAGAAGAAUCUUGUGAGGGUGAUGAAUACAUUUAUUAUCUUAGUUACAGUUCUGGUUUCAAAGGUAUAUACAUAUGUCAGAAGUAUCUUACAGUACACUUGUGUACUGUUUGUUGUAUAAGCUGUAGGGAAAAAUGCAAGGGUCUUUUUAUUUUUUAUGUUUAUUUUUAAUUUUUUUAAGAGAUAAGGUCUCACUCUGUGGCCCACGCUGGAGUACCGUGGUGCAAUCAUAGCUCACUGCAGCCUUGAACCUCUAGGCUCAAAUGAACCCCUUGCUUCAGCCUCCUAAGUACCUGGGACUACAGGUGUGCCACAAUUCCCAGCUAAUUUUUUUAGUUUUUGUGUAAACAUGCUGGGGCUGUCUCACUAUAUUGCCUAGGCUGGUCUCAAACUCUUGGCCUCAAGCCGUCUCACCUCGACCUUCCAAUGUGGUGGGAUUACAAGCAUGAGCCACCAUGACCAGCUCAGAGCACUUUUCAUAUAUAGUAGUAAUGUCUUUAGUUAAUAUAAUUGAUUUCGACACUGAAAUCUUAUUAUAUUUUGGCCCAUUCUCCUUCUCUCUUUCUCUUUCAUAUUAUUGAAUUUCUAGAAUGCUAUUACAACCUAUUUAAUGUAUUUUAUGUUAUGUAUUCAUUCAAAAUGAAUAAAGAGCCUGUUAUGGCCAGAUACUUGCUAUGCCCUGAGAAGAUAAAGAUAAGGGAAUCCAGUCAUUAUGGUAAGGGCCUAUUGUCAGCAUUAUGUUGAGGAAACAUCUGCUAACUUCAAACCACACCUUAUUUAGGCCUUUUCUUUGGAAGAUGACACCACAUGUUAUUUUAUUUUUAUACUUUUCUCCAUGUAGAGACAUUUCUAUGAAGAAGAGGAAUGUAUCAGAACAUGUACUUCAAGCCAAAGGACAAUUCUGCAAGAGAGAAUGAGAAGUCCUCCCCUGGAUCUGAUUCUGAAUCUUGAUUCCAGAAUUCACAAGAGCUGCCUGGAUUCCUGGACUCCUUGACCCUUCCUCCAGUUUCAAAGUCAGCAAUGCAGCACCGUCAAAGGGUUCUCUCUCCCUCUCUGUCACACACACACACACACACACACACACACACACACACACACACUCACCCCUGCUUUCAUCAUCAGGUUGCCUCCUCUGACUCAGACCCUCUGCCUCCCUCUUAUAAGAACCCUUGAGAUGACACCGAGUCUGCCUGAAUAAUCCAGGAAAAUCCAGGAUAAGCUCGCCAUUUGAAGAUCCUACAUCUAAAAAGUCCCUUUGUCACAUUCGGUGACAAGGCAGCGUCUGGGAAUUAGGAUGUGGACAUCUUUCGGGGGCAUUAUUCUUCUGACCACAAGAUAUAAUAAAAAAGUACACUCCCUGAGAAGGCCCCUUGUUUGACACUGUUCCUGGCCUUAAGAAUUGUUUUAGAUGUUCAUUCUUCACCUCUUGAAGGCUUUCUGAUUUUUAAAGAAUUCACUGAUAAAAGACAAAUGCUGUUGGGAGCACCAUUCAUGGUAGCAAAGAUAUGGAAUCAAACGGUGCCCAUCAGUGGUGGACUGGAUAAAGAAAAUGUGGUGCAUAUACACCAUGGAAUACUAUGCAGCCAUAAAAAAGAAUGAGAUCAUGUCCUUUGUACAACAUGCAUACAGCUGGAGGCCAUUAUCCUAAGUGAAUUGAUACAGGAACAGAAAACCAAAUACCACAUGUUCUCACUUGUAAGUGGGAGCUAAACAUUGGGUAUAUGGGGACAUAAAGAUGGCAACAAUAGAUGCUGGGGACUACUAGAGAGAGGAGAAAUGAGGAGGGCAAGGGUUGAAAAACUAUUGGGUGCUAUGCUCACUACAUGGGUGAUGGGAUCAACUGUACCCCAAACCUCAGCAUCACACAAUAUACCCAGAUAACAAACCUGCACAUGUACCCCCAAAUCUAAAACAACAGUUGAAAUUUUUAAAAAUUAAAAAAAUAACCCAAAUGCUUCUGGGAGGGAGAACAUGUUAAGUGUUAUCUGUUAAGACUUGAGAGAGACGAAAAAGACCCAGGGAAAGAAUUAGAGAAUGUAAGGAGGGGUGUUUGGGCACUACGGGCAAAAAAAAUAAUUAAUUUUCAGUUUUGGCCAAGAGCUAACUUGCCGCCUUAGAAAGAGCAACGCGUCUGGGAAUAAGGAAUCUCAAAUUCUAGUCACUAAUUAGUCGUUAAUUGCAGAAAUUGCAUUUAGUAUCUUUGUGUCUUUCCUCACGAUGAACUGAGAAUAAUAGCUAAUCCCUUGGGCAGUGAGAUGACACUUAAAAACCUGAAGUAGAGCUGGGCACAGUGGCACACGCCUGAAAUCUCAACUACUUGAGGGGCUGAAUCGGGAAGAUCCCUUGAGGCCAGGAAUUUGAGACCAGUCUGGGCAACAAUGUGAGACUCUGCCUCUUAAACCUUUUUUUAAAUUCACCAUGUGUGCUGGUGCACAUCCGUAGCCCUAGCCACUUGUAAGGCUGAGGCAGGAGGAUCACCGGAGCUCAGAAGUUUGAGGCUGCAGUGAGCUGUGAUCGUGCCACCAUACUCCAGCCUGGGCAAUAGAGCAAGACCCUGUCGUAAACAAAAAACAAAACAAGAAACAACCCUGUAUGUAAAAGCCCCUAGAAAAGCUUAACAAACUAGCAAAUAUUCCUUUUGUGAUAGGUCUUUGACAUACACCAUCUCUUUUCAUGCUCGGAAGUGCUAUUUGAAGCAGGUGCUAUCAUGACCCUCAUCUGACAGGUGAGGAGACUGAGGCUUGGGCUAAAUAACCAGAGAAAGGUCAUGCAGCGAGGAAGUAGCAGAACUGGGAUGUGAACCUGGAAUUAUGUAACUUCAGGGUCGCUACUUUCUAUCACUAUAAAGUAUUCUGCCUGCAGGCUGGGCCCAGUGGCUCACGCCUGUAAUCUCAGCACUUUGGGAAGCCAAAGCCAGCAGAUGGCUUGAGUCCAGGAGUUUGAGACCAGCCUGGGCAACAUAGCGAGACCCCAUCUCUACUAAAAUUACAAAAAUUAGCCGGGCAUGGUGGCGCACGCCUGUAGUCCCAACUACUUGGGAGGCUGAGGCAGGAGGAUUGCUUGAACCCGGGAAGCAGAGGUUGCAGUGAGCUGAGAUUGCACCACUGCACUCCAGCCUAGACCACAGAGUGAGACUCUGUCUCAAAAAAAAAAAAAAAGAAAUAUAUAUAUAUACACACAUAUAUAUACACACAUAUAUAUACAUAUGUAUAUAUAUAUGUAUGUAUAUAUAUAUAUAUUCUGCCUGUAAAACCUAGGUGGGAAAUCUGGAGACAGCAUUUGGGUGAGGUCAUGGCAAGGUGGCAGAGAAAACAAAGCAAGCUCGUAUUUUAAAAUUCCAAAAGGGGGCAAUUCCAAGGUGGUUGAUGUUUGAAAGAAUAUAGUUUAGGAUUUGGCAUUGUGAGCCAUUUUAAAAUCCAGGCAAAAGAGAUGGAAAUUAGCAGCACCUGCUCUUCCCUGGGUCCCCUGCCUCUCCCUGGGUCCCCUACCUCUCCCUGGGUCCCCUGCCUCUCCCUGAAGCCUCUGAAGAGACCCCCAAAAAAGGCCAAUUUCAGGAGCCACACAGUUAUUUUGUCUGUUAAAUUAUCAAACACUCACAUCAGGACUCUAGAAAAGAAGAAAAGGAAAGAAUAAAAUCUUGAAGAUAUCAGAAGAAAGAAUUUAUGAAUGAAAAAUUACAAACCAGGCCAUCAUUUAAAUAAACAAAUACAUUCGAAUGGAGUUAUUUGAAUAAGAAAACUCCUCCAUCGACAUAGUCUAAUUUAUGAAAUUGUCACUGAGAAAAACAUAAAUGAAAGAAGAAAAAUUGUAAGAAAAAAAUCAAAAUCAUUGGAAUAGAUUAGACAAAUAAGAGACCAUUAUGGACAAUUUAUAUUUUAAAAUAGACAAAUGCACAUUUUCAAAAAAUUAACAGCAGAAGAGAUACAAAACUGGAAAAAAAAAAACAAAACAGGAAUGUAUUUCCCUGACCUGGGUCCCACUAAAUCCUCCCAUGAACAUUCCAAUGAGAACACAGUUUCCAUCUCUGUAGCUUGAACUCCUACCCUUGGCUUCCUCCCUUUCUCCAUCCACCCUCUCUUUGCCCAGCACAGACCCCACCUCACCCCACAGCCCUUCCUGCACCGCCACCCCAUCCCAUCCGCCCCUCCAAAGCUACCCUGGCAUCUUGUGGAACUCAGGCUCAAUUAUAAACAAGUUUCCUUACAAGUUAAUGUAUUCUAUUAGUCAUUUACUUUUUAAACUAUUGUGUUAAUUGUGAAUAAAACAGAGCAAAAUCCUUGUUCUCUGAUAACUUACAUUUUAGUUGUGGAAGGCUGAUAAUUAUAAUUAUGAUAUAAAUAUAUAGGUACAAGUAUUAUACAUAAAAUAUAUAAAUAUAUAAUAUAAUGCAUAAUACAUAAAUUCAUAAUCAAUAUAUUUCCAAAUGGUUAGCAUUUCACCAUUCAGGUGCACUUACCCUUCUGAGACCUUACAACUACACAAGUUCUGUCUGCACACAGGAGAAAUUUUAUUCUGGAACUCAGCU
rnacentral:lncRNA from 10 species